GACAGCAGUAGCCACGGGAAUACGUAGGUGGCAAGCGUUGUCCGGAAUUAUUGGGCGUAAAGCGCGCGCAGGUGGUUUAAUAAGUCUGAUGUGAAAGCCCACGGCUCAACCGUGGAGGGUCAUUGGAAACUGUUAAACUUGAGUGCAGGAGAGAAAAGUGGAAUUCCUAGUGUAGCGGUGAAAUGCGUAGAGAUUAGGAGGAACACCAGUGGCGAAGGCGGCUUUUUGGCCUGUAACUGACACUGAGGCGCGAAAGCGUGGGGAGCAAACAGGAUUAGAUACCCCCGUAGUCCCUGUCUCUUAUAC
rnacentral:rRNA from 1 species